rnacentral:lncRNA from 10 species
UCUCUCCCUGCCCCUCCCCUUUCUCCCCCCUCACCGCCCAGCGGGGCUUCUAACUGACAGUUGUCGCCGGGCCCCGUCCGUGCACCGCCUCCUUCUGCCCGUGUCCCCCGCAGGUAGAGGGGGGCGGGAGGGGGUGUGAGGGAGAGGAGGAGCCGGAGCCGCCGCUGCGGCCCCCUCCGGGGAGGGGAGAGGAGAACCCCCUUCCUCCUCGCCCCCUCCCAGCCCCCCGCUGGCCCGGGAGGGGGUGGGGCGCCGAGGCCGCGGCGACCCGGCAGGGCCUGGCCGGUGAAGAGCAGGCGGGCGGGGUGCGGAGGGGUGAG